UUGGGAAUAUUGGACAAUGGGGGAAACCCUGAUCCAGCAAUGCCGCGUGGGUGAUGAAGGCCUUCGGGUUGUAAAGCCCUUUUGGCGGGGACGAUGAUGACGGUACCCGCAGAAUAAGCCCCGGCUAACUUCGUGCCAGCAGCCGCGGUAAUACGAAGGGGGCUAGCGUUGUUCGGAAUUACUGGGCGUAAAGGGCGCGUAGGCGGCCGUGCAAGUCAGAUGUGAAAGCCCUGGGCUCAACCCAGGAGGUGCAUUUGAUACUGCAUGGCUAGAGUGUCGGAGAGGAUGGUGGAAUUCCCAGUGUAGAGGUGAAAUUCGUAGAUAUUGGGAAGAACACCGGUGGCGAAGGCGACCAUCUGGACGACAACUGACGCUGAGGCGCGAAAGCGUGGGGAGCAAACAGGAUUAGAUACCCUGGUAGUCCACGCCGUAAACUAUGCGUGUUGGACGUUGGCGAGCCUAGCUCGUCGGUGUCGCAGCUAACGCGUUAAACACGCCGCCUGGGGAGUACGGCCGCAAGGUUA
rnacentral:rRNA from 1 species